rnacentral:rRNA from 1 species
CCUACGGGAGGCAGCAACUAGGAAUUUUGCGCAAUGGGGGCAACCCUGACGCAGCGACACAGCGUGGAGGAGGAAGGUCUUCGGAUUGUAAACUCCUUUUAUAUGGGAAGAAUAGAUGACUGUACCAUAUGAAUAAGCUCCUGCUAACUACGUGCCAGAAGCAUCGGUGAUGCGUAGGUUGCGAACGUUAUCCGGAUUUAUUGGGCGUAAAGAGAUGCGUAGGCGUUUCAGUUAGUCUUUCGUUAAAAGUCACGGCUUAACCGUGAAGAUGCGUGGGAUACUGCUGAAAUUGAG